rnacentral:tRNA from 1 species
GCCUUUGUGGUGUAGUGGUCUGCAUGAUCGACGCGUAACCGAGAGGUCCGUGGUUCGAUUCCCGGCGAAGGCG